GAUGAACGCUGGCGGCGUGCCUAAUACAUGCAAGUCGAGCGAAUGGAUUAAGAGCUUGCUCUUAUGAAGUUAGCGGCGGACGGGUGAGUAACACGUGGGUGACCUGCCCAUAAGACUAGGAUAACUCCGGGAAACCGGGGCUAAUACCGGAUAACAUUUUGAACCGCAUGGUUCGAAAUUGAAAGGCGGCUUCGGCUGUCACUUAUGGAUGGACCCGGGUCCGAGUAGCUAGUUGAUGAGGUAACGGCUCACCAAGGCAACGAUGCGUAGCCGACCUGAGAGGGGUAUCGGCCACACUGGGACUGGGACACGGCCCAGACUCCUACGGGAGGCAGCAGUAGGGAAUCUUCCGCAAUGGACGAAAGUCUGACGGAGCAACGCCGCGUGAGUGAUGAAGGCUUUCGGGUCGUAAAACUCUGUUGUUAGGGAAGAACAAGUGCUAGUUGAAUAAGCUGGCACCUUGACGGUACCUAACCAGAAAGCCACGGCUAACUACGUGCCAGCCGCCGCAGUAA
rnacentral:rRNA from 1 species